rnacentral:lncRNA from 1 species
GAGGAAGGAGACACCAGGGGUGGGGACUCUGUAUUCUGAAGCUCUGAGGCCACAGGAUGAAAAAUCAGAGCCAAGUGAAUGCCUUCUCUGCCUCUCCAAUCCAUGCCAACCCAGGGCUGGCUGCUCACAUGGGGUCUGCACAAACUUGAAAAUCUCCAGAUGUUUUAUACGGGGGACAAAGCCACGCUUUCUGCUGCAACAGAUUGUGAGACUUUUAGGAUGCUUACCCCAAGGCCCUUGAAAAAUGAGAGAGGGGUCUGAUUCUUUGAGAUGGGUAAGGCAGAGGCACCCCGUGGAAGUCAAGCAUUCCUUCUCUCUUCCCUCCCAAGGCCAGCAUGUAAUUUCAAAUGUCCAGUCCAUCCAUGAACAAUAUGUUAGCCUUUGGCCAGGCGGUGAGCUUCCAAAACGCAAACAUCUCAGCCUCUGUCUGCAGAGGUGAGAAUUCAGCUCGGCAGAGGAAUGGGACACUGUCAAGGAAGACAAGCUUUUGGAGUCAGACAAUCCCAGUAUUUGCUGAUUUAUUUGUUCAAUGCUGGUCUCCCACACUAGACCAUGAGCAGGAAGGAGAGGCAACAUGCAACUGUGCUCGUUGUCUACACAGGGCCUAGCACUGGGCCUGGGCCAGGGCAGGCACCUGGGAGUGACACAUCCUGCUUAGGAGUCUGCUGGCCUCCAGUCUGGGACAACAGAGCACUUCAAAUAGGCACCUGU